rnacentral:rRNA from 1 species
AUGAACGCUGGCGGCGUGCCUAAUACAUGCAAGUCGAGCGGUAAGGCUUCCACUCUGUACUUAAAUUUUUGAGUAUGGUGUGGAAGUACACGAGCGGCGGACGGCUGAGUAACGCGUAGGAACGUACCCCAUAGUGAGGGAUAAGCACCGGAAACGGUGUCUAAUACCGCAUAAUCUCUUCGGAGCAAAGCAGCAAUGCGCUUUGGGAACGGCCUGCGUAUGAUUAGCUUGUUGGCGAGGUAAAAGCUCACCAAGGCGACGAUCAUUAGCUGGUCUGAGAGGAUGAUCAGCCAGACUGGGACUGAGACACGGCCCAGACUCCUACGGGAGGCAGCAGUAGGGAAUUUUCCACAAUGGGCGAAAGCCUGAUGGAGCAACGCCGCGUGCAGGAUGAAGGCCUUCGGGUCGUAAACUGCUUUUAUAUGUGAAGAUUUUGACGGUAGCAUAUGAAUAAGGAUCGGCUAACUCCGU